GGCAGCUCUCAGGUGAUGCACCCAGGAAUUGGGCUCCCUUCUCUCUGGUUCCAGGUGCAUCACCUGAGAACCGCA
rfam:Myotis lucifugus cont2.22371, whole genome shotgun sequence.